AUGCACGCUGGCGGCAUGCCUCACCCCUGCAAGUCGCACGCAGGCUUCGGCCUUAGUGGCGCACGGGUGCGUCACGCGUGGGAAUCUGCCCCUUGGUUCGGAAUAACAGUUAGAAAUGACUGCUAAUACCGGAUGAUGACGUAAGUCCAAAGAUUUAUCGCCGAGGGAUGAGCCCGCGUAGGAUUAGCUAGUUGGUGUGGUAAGAGCGCACCAAGGCGACGAUCCUUAGCUGGUCUGAGAGGAUGAUCAGCCACACUGGGACUGAGACACGGCUCAGACUCCUACGGGAGGCAGCAGUGGGGAAUAUUGGACAAUGGGCGAAAGCCUGAUCCAGCAAUGCCGCGUGAGUGAUGAAGGCCUUAGGGUUGUAAAGCUCUUUUACCCGGGAUGAUAAUGACAGUACCGGGAGAAUAAGCUCCGGCUAACUCCGUG
rnacentral:rRNA from 1 species